UUAAAACAGUUAUAGUUUAUUUGGUAAUCGAAUUUACAUGGAUAACCGUGGUAAUUCUAGAGCUAAUACAUGCUGUAAAGCCCGACUUCACGGAAGGGCCGUAUUUAUUAGAUAACAGACCAAUAUUCCUCGUGUCUAUUGUGGUGAAUCAUAGUAACUAAUCGGAUCGCAUGGGCUAGUCCCGCGACAAACCAUUCAAGUUUCUGCCCCAUCAGCUUUCGAUGGUAGUGUAUUGGACUACCAUGGCUUUUACGGGUAACGGAGGAUUAGGGUUCGAUUCCGGAGAGGGAGCCUGAGAAACGGCUACCACAUCUAAGGAAGGCAGCAGGCGCGUAAAUUACCCAAUCCUAAUUCAGGGAGGUAGUGACAAGAAAUAACGGGUCGGGGCUCUGCCCCGGGACUGCAAUGAGAUGAAUUUACACCCCUUUUCGAGUAACAAUUGGAGGG
rnacentral:rRNA from 1 species